rnacentral:ncRNA from 1 species
CAGAGUAGGAAGUCAUGCGUUAAGUACCAAAGGAUGGGAAGUUGUCUUUGGGCGAAAAGAAAAUGUCUGUUGUUGUACGCACUAUAGUGUGCGGACAGGAACUUAGUUCUUGCGGUAUGGCUUUCGCAUCCACUG